rnacentral:rRNA from 1 species
GAUCCUGGCUCAGGACGAACGCUGGCGGCGCGCCUAACACAUGCAAGUCGAGGGGCAGCAUGGUCUUAGCUUGCUAAGGCCGAUGGCGACCGGCGCACGGGUGAGUAACACGUAUCCAACCUGCCGUCUACUCUUGGACAGCCUUCUGAAAGGAAGAUUAAUACAAGAUGGCAUCAUGAGUCCGCAUGUUCACAUGAUUAAAGGUAUUCCGGUAGACGAUGGGGAUGCG